rnacentral:rRNA from 1 species
GAGUUUGAUCAUGGCUCAGAUUGAACGCUGGCGGCAGGCCUAACACAUGCAAGUCGAGCGGCAGCACGGGUACUUGUACCUGGUGGCGAGCGGCGGACGGGUGAGUAAUGCCUAGGAAUCUGCCUGGUAGUGGGGGAUAACGCUCGGAAACGGACGCUAAUACCGCAUACGUCCUACGGGAGAAAGCAGGGGACCUUCGGGCCUUGCGCUAUCAGAUGAGCCUAGGUCGGAUUAGCUAGUUGGUGAGGUAAUGGCUCACCAAGGCGACGAUCCGUAACUGGUCUGAGAGGAUGAUCAGUCACACUGGAACUGAGACACGGUCCAGACUCCUACGGGAGGCAGCAGUGGGGAAUAUUGGACAAUGGGCGAAAGCCUGAUCCAGCCAUGCCGCGUGUGUGAAGAAGGUCUUCGGAUUGUAAAGCACUUUAAGUUGGGAGGAAGGGCAGUAAAUUAAUACUUUGCUGUUUUGACGUUACCGACAGAAUAAGCACCGGCUAACUCUGUGCCAGCAGCCGCGGUAAUACAGAGGGUGCAAGCGUUAAUCGGAAUUACUGGGCGUAAAGCGCGCGUAGGUGGUUUGUUAAGUUGGAUGUGAAAUCCCCGGGCUCAACCUGGGAACUGCAUUCAAAACUGACAAGCUAGAGUAUGGUAGAGGGUGGUGGAAUUUCCUGUGUAGCGGUGAAAUGCGUAGAUAUAGGAAGGAACACCAGUGGCGAAGGCGACCACCUGGACUGAUACUGACACUGAGGUGCGAAAGCGU